rnacentral:rRNA from 1 species
GAUGAACGCUGGCGGCGUGCCUAAUACAUGCCAGUCGAGCGAACAGACGAGGAGCUUGCUCCUCUGACGUUAGCGGCGGACGGGUGAGUAACACGUGGAUAACCUACCUAUAAGACUGGGAUAACUUCGGGACACCGGCGCUAAUACCGGAUAAUAUAUUGAACCGCAUGGUUCAAUAGUGAAAGACGGUUUUGCUGUCACUUAUAGCUGGAUCCGCGCCGCAUUAGCUAGUUGGUAAGGUAACGGCUUACCACGGCGACGAUGCGUAGCCGACCUGAGAGGGUGAUCGGCGACACUGGAAGUGAGACACGGUCCAGACUCCUACGGGAGGCAGCAGUAGGGAAUCUUACGCAAUGGGCGAAAGCCUGACGGAGCAACGCCGCGUGAGUGAUGAAGGUCUUCGGAUCGUAAAACUCUGUUAUUAGGGAAGAACAAAUGUGUAAGUAACUAUGCACGUCUUGACGGUACCUAAUCAGAAAGCCACGGCUAACUACGUG